rnacentral:rRNA from 1 species
GAUGAACGCUAGCGAUAGGCCUAACACAUGCAAGUCGAGGGGCAGCAUAGAGUAGCAAUACUUUGAUGGCGACCGGCGCACGGGUGAGUAACACGUAUGCAACCUACCUACAUCAGGGGAAUAACCCGGAGAAAUUCGGACUAAUACCGCAUAAUACAGGGAUGCCGCAUGGCAAUAUUUGUUAAAGAUUUAUCGGAUGUAGAUGGGCAUGCGUUCCGUUAGCUAGUUGGUGAGGUAACGGCUCACCAAGGCAACGAUGGAUAGGGGAACUGAGAGGUUUGUCCACCACACUGGAACUGAGACACGGACCAGACUCCUACGGGAGGCAGCAGUGGGGAAUAUUGGUCAAUGGACGAGAGUCUGAACCAGCCAAAUCGCGUGAAGGAAGACUGCCCUACGGGUUGUAAACUUCUUUUGUACAGGAAUAAAAGACAUUACGUGUAAUGUAUUGCAUGUACUGUACGAAUAAGCAUCGGCUAACUCCGUGCCAGCCGCCGCAGUAA